UAGUCGAUGGGAAACAGGUUAAUAUUCCUGUACUUGGUGUUACUGCGAAGGGGGGACGGAGAAGGCUAUGUUGGCCGGGCGACGGUUGUCCCGGUUUAAGCGUGUAGGCUGGUUUUCCAGGCAAAUCCGGAAAAUCAAGGCUGAGGCGUGAUGACGAGGCACUACGGUGCUGAAGCAACAAAUGCCCUGCUUCCAGGAAAAGCCUCUAAGCAUCAGGUAACAUCAAAUCGUACCCCAAACCGACACAGGUGGUCAGGUAGAGAAUACCAAGGCGCUUGAGAGAACUCGGGUGAAGGAACUAGGCAAAAUGGUGCCGUAACUUCGGGAGAA
rnacentral:rRNA from 1 species